rnacentral:rRNA from 1 species
UGCAUGGCUGUCGUCAGCUCGUGUUGUGAAAUGUUGGGUUAAGUCCCGCAACGAGCGCAACCCUUAUCCUUUGUUGCCAGCGGUUCGGCCGGGAACUCAAAGGAGACUGCCGGUGAUAAACCGGAGGAAGGUGGGGAUGACGUCAAGUCAUCAUGGCCCUUACGACCAGGGCUACACACGUGCUACAAUGGCGCAUACAAAGAGAAGCGACCUCGCGAGAGCAAGCGGACCUCAUAAAGUGCGUCGUAGUCCGGAUUGGAGUCUGCAACUCGACUCCAUGAAGUCGGAAUCGCUAGUAAUCGUGGAUCAGAAUGCCACGGUGAAUACGUUCCCGGGCCUUGUACACACCGCCCGUCACACCAUGGGAGUGGGUUGCAAAAGAAGUAGGUAGCUUAACCUU